GGGGACGUCACGGCUUCGACGGGAGUCUUGAAGUCCCGGAUGCAUGUCGAGGUGCCAUCAGGCCUCGUUAAACCGGUGGCAAACUGUAACUGCUAAUCCAGUUGCUCUCGCUGCUUAAUAUAACUAGCACGACGUCUUUCUUAGUAUCGCCUAUGUAUUGAGAAAAGACGCCAUUCAGUAGGCUAGCCCAGGAAUCCUUGCAGGCGAUUCGAGGGCGAACUAAAAGUCUGCAGGGGUUACGCGGAGAGUGUCUGUGCCCGCCUCGUAACCAACCAAACCACAGACUACACAUGUAGACUCUGGCGAUGGAUGGCUUUCGGACGUGGGUUCAACUCCCACCGUCUCCACCA
rnacentral:tmRNA from 1 species